rnacentral:rRNA from 1 species
UACGUAGGGGGCAAGCGUUGUCCGGAUUCAUUGGGCGUAAAGAGCGUGUAGGCGGCCAGGUAGGUCGGUUGUGAAAACUGGAGGCUCAACCUUCAGAGGUCGACCGAAACCAUCUGGCUAGAGUCCGGGAGAGGAGAGUGGAAUUCCUGGUGUAGCGGUGAAAUUCGUAGAUAUUGGGAAGAACACCGGUGGCGAAGGCGGCUAUCUGGACCGACAUUGACGCUGAGGCGCGAAAGCGUGGGGAGCAAACAGG